rnacentral:rRNA from 1 species
UGGGUCUAAUACCGGAUAUGACCUGCUGUUGCAUGACGGUGGGUGGAAAGUUUUUCGGCUGAGGAUGGGCCCGCGGCCUAUCAGCUUGUUGGUGGGGUGAUGGCCUACCAAGGCGACGACGGGUAGCCGGCCUGAGAGGGCGACCGGCCACACUGGGACUGAGAUACGGCCCAGACUCCUACGGGAGGCAGCAGUGGGGAAUAUUGCGCAAUGGGCGAAAGCCUGACGCAGCGACGCCGCGUGGGGGAUGACGGCCUUCGGGUUGUAAACCUCUUUCGACCGGGACGAAGGGUGACUGACGGUACCGGUAGAAGAAGCACCGGCCAACUACGUGCCAGCAGCCGCGGUAAUACGUAGGGUGCGAGCGUUGUCCGGAAUUAUUGGGCGUAAAGAGCUCGUAGGCGGUGUGUCGCGUCGGUCGUGAAAACUUGGGGCUCAACCCUGAGCGUGCGGUCGAUACGGGCAUCACUUGAGUUCGGCAGGGGAGACUGGAAUUCCUGGUGUAGCGGUGAAAUGCGCAGAUAUCAGGAGGAACACCGGUGGC